rnacentral:lncRNA from 1 species
CACUUGCAUCAGGCUUCACACUUGCAAGAAAGCUCUUGCAGUUCCUUUUCCAAUGCCCCGUCUUGCCACAGUGGAAACAGGUACCGGGUCCAGAGAUUUUCUUUCCCUUCUUCUUUUUGAUGUGACUCUUAGGGUUUAUUUUUUCUUUGAACCCUUAUUGCCCGACUUCUUCUUUGAGCUCUCACCAACAAGAAGGAUCGGACCCUUGUCCUUCUUGAUGUGAGACUCUGCUGUUUUCAGCAUAUUUAGAAGCUCAGCAGGGAGGAAUUCAGUUUGUUCAUGUGAUAAUUCACGACAAACUGCGAGAAUGAGUCGGGUAGUGAUUGCAGGAUCAAAUCCUGACUGAGCGCACUGUCCAUAGCAAAACCAAGUUGACUUAAUCGAGUGAUUAAGCCUAUAACCUUUAAAUAGUGGUCUUGCACAGACGAUCCCUCGAUCAUUCUAGCACGGAACAACUGUUUAGAUAUCUCAUAUCUAGCAGUUCUGCUCUGCUCACCAUAUAACUCCUUUAAGUUAAGGAGUGAGUAUCCAUGCUAUCAUGCUGCCUCUGCAAUUCAUUAUUCAUAGAAGCAAGCAUGAUACAUUUGACAGUCAAACUGUCAUUUUUCCACAUACGAUAUGUGGCCAAUUCCUCCUCAGUUGCAUCUUUCCCUGCUGACCCUAGGUCAGGGGUUUCAAGAAUGUAGG